rnacentral:miRNA from 1 species
UACAUGAUAGUUCUGGAGUUGAAGCUGGUUUAAAAUUCGUUUUAAAAUACUAGAAAAUAAAAAGUCUUUUUAGACUAUUUUAAAGAGAAUUUUAGACCACCUUCAACUCCAGAACUAU